UCUGAUUGGCUGCCAGGCAGCUACUUGUCUCCGGGUUCCAUUUUCUGCUACAUCGAGGGGGUGGAGCAGCUGAGGGUAGAGAGUGACCAGGGACGUAGCUCUGUGUGUGGGCUUUGAAUUUAGACAGCGCCGGGCACUGUGGGAGUACCAAGUAGGGUGUGAACUAUACGGAACCGUGUGUGCCGAGCAGACCCAUGUUGUGCUUGGCUGCACCAUCUUCUGUCGGAGUUCUGCUGAUGCAAAUUCCUAGUUGGGGAAAAUCACCAAGAUUCACCAAAAGUGACAAAUUCCCUAUAACCUGGCGUCGAAGUUUCCAGAAAGCUUUGGACGAAAAGAUCGACGAGUUUUGGGAUUUUUCGACGAAGAGGUGAUAGUUUCUUUGGAGAAAAAUGGGAGGUGUCGAAAGAUUAAAUAUCCCAAUAUCCCAACCAAACCAUGGGACUCCAAAGAGGAACCAGCACUUAAACAACAGCAGACAAAGGAACAAGGAUGAUAAUCUCUAUCACGUGAAGACAAUGCACAAGAAAGGCGAGAAGGGACAUGGACGAUAUCCAUUUAUUUCUGAAACAUGUCAGGUUGUGCAGAAAGAGGGAAAGAAUGUUAUGCACUUUACUGCAAACAAUCAGAGUUGGGAGGCAGUUCUGAGCAGCUCAAACACACUGUUUAGGUUGCAGUCUGAUCAAAAUUAUGCUGGAGCCAAGUUCAGUGAGCCACCAUCACCAAGUGUACUACCCAAGCCUCCAAGCCAUUGGGUACAUGUGCCCCUAGAGUCAUCUGAUCACAGUGAAAUGGCCUUUCAGUUGAAGACCAUGCUAAAAGUGCAGGCAUAGACUGUAGACUUAAAAGGAUCACACUGCUGGAAACAAAGUUUCUAAUUCUACUAUAUAAUACAGGAGUUUUGAAUUGUUUUUAAAAGCACUGCCUUUGAUAUCCUUCCGAGCUGGUUGUUUGGUGUAUAUUGGCCCAGUUUUGUGUCCAGCAGUUGUUUACUGGAAAUUUGUUUCCUCUUCCUGUUCUGCCCUUUUCUAUGAAUAGGAAACAAAUUUCAAUUCUAACAUAGUAAUUCCAAUGUUUGAGUGAAGGAUAUUCCUGACUUUAGAUCUCUCAUGAUUUGCUCCUGUCCAAAAAGUGUUGAAUCAGCAAUUAUGUUGGCCAUCUUGCGUCUGCCCAACCACAGUUGGGCAUAUUCAGCAAGAUGUGUAUGUAGCUUCCUGCUGUAGAAAACAUGUUUUAUUACUUUUGUUUUGGAACUCCUGAUAUUAAAUGGGUCCUGUCCUUUCCUUAUAAAGGAUGAUUGUUAUGAUGCAAUACCCCAUGAAAAAUGUUUGCUAAAACAUGAAGUCUCAUCUGCCAGUGGUAGAUAUGUUACCAUAUGUUAGGAGCCUUUGUGUUUUAAUCUCUCUCUUUUGAGGUAAAAGCACUUUGUGUACUGUACAGAAAAGGCAAACACUUAAAUUUGUUCAGAUUAACAAGACCUUUUCAAAUAUUCAUUGUACCCGUCACCACAUUUUAAUGUAAUACUGGAAUACAAAACUUAAUUUGCUUAAAAUUGGCAAAAAUGAAUUUGAUUAUGUAUUAACUCUCCUGGCCAGUUUUUAAACCUGUAGAAAGAGCCACAAGUGUAAAACUUGUACCAUAUGUAUAUUAAAGCAGGACUUGUCUGCUGAAUAAACUAUUUUAGUACAAUGGCUAAAUGUAUAAAUCAUGCCACCGGUUUCUUGGUGUGUCAGACCGAAGAAUAUUUUUCUUAAAUGGAUCAAAAGCACAAAUAUUUGAUGAUGCUACAUGUGUCAGUGUGCUUGCAUGUUUUUAAAAAGGAAUGACUGACUGACUGGUUUUCAUUGUUUGUUUUGUAGGGGAAUAAAAGCUAUAGAAAGUAUUUUCUAUGUAAAGAAAAAGAAAAAUGUAAAAACUGGUUGCUGCAUAUCCUGAAGUGGUCAUAUCAUUUGUUUUUUUAAUGAACAGAAAUGAGCAAUCUGAUUUUAGUAGUAAUUUGUCCUGCUGUUUGCACUUAAGAUCUAUCUGAUUUCACCCCCCCCCAUACCACUGGUAAUGCCUUGUAACCUUGCAAUACUAGCAUUGUGAUGUUGGUUGUUACUGACUGCACUGUGCAACAUGCUUUGAGAACAGCAUCUCAUCUUUAAAGCUACAGUUUUACCAAUGGACGGCCAGAAUGUACUGAUUAUUCUUUGCUUCUGUUACCAAUGGUCCAUUAUUUCCCUCAUACCAGGCUUGGGAAUAGUAAUCAUAUGAAUGUAAAUUUAUGCAUUUUCUUGGUUACCAUUUCCAUAUAGUAACCACAAUUUUGUUGGGGGAAGGAGUGUAAAACCAUUUGGACCUCAUUUCUUUUUUUUUUCCUUGUCUCAGGUAACAUCUGAAAAGGACGGUUCACUCCUGAUUAAAUCUAUAAAUGAAUGUUCUUUUGCCCCAGAAACAUUUGCAGUCUGUUUUAAUUUAGCAGCUCUAUAUAUCCAACAAAAUUAUGUCCUAAUACAACUGGGGCUUGGGAUUCUGUUUAACAGUAAAAAAUUUUGUAUUGAAAUGAUUACUUGGAACAAAUUCCUCAAUAAAUUUGACUUAACCAAUUUGCAACAUGAA